rnacentral:tRNA from 1 species
UGGUGCCCCGGGCCGGACUUGAACCGGCACGACUCGGAAGGCGAGGGAUUUUAAAUCCCUUGUGUCUACCGAUUUCACCACCAGGGC